CAACUCAAGUCGCGGUCCGUCAGGAACCCAUUGCUCCUUAACAACCCUAUCUCUUCUCCCCUCGAUCUGCCCACCGCCACCGCCGCCGCCACUUCGCAACUCGCUCCCGCAGCCACCUCCGCGCGCCAGCGCUGGCGCUCCUGCCCACCGCCUGGCAGCUCCGCGCGCCGGCCCCCUCGUCCCCACCCCCCGCGGGUGGCUGCGAGCGCACCAGCUCCCUCGCCCCCACCUACUGCAGGUAGCUGCGAGUGCAGCGGCGCCCUCACCCUCACCCACUGCUGUACGCCUCCGCACGCCUGCGCCCACCGCCGGGCGGCUGCGCGCAUGCUGGCGCCCUCGCCCCUGCCCACCACCGCGCGACUGCGCGACUCGGCGCCCUCGCCCCCACCCACCGCCACGUAGGGCUUGUUGUUUGUUUUUGCUUUUGCUGUCCCAGGGCUUCUCACGGAGGGGUUGCAGAAGACGCCGGCUAGGCUACAAAAAGUUGAGUGGAUCCGGCCGUGGCAACUGGGGAUCUAGCCGCCGAUGCCGGAAAAGGCCCAUCUGUCUCUUCCCAAGGUACAAAGAUACAACAGAAUGGUGAAUGGAGCGCUGGUGAUCUUCAUGUUGCUAAAGCUCAACAUCAAGGUGAACUUCAGUUAAACUUUUUGCCGAGUUAACUUUAGUUUUAUUAAUUGAGUUAUGUAUACAUAGAGUUAGAAUUUAAAUCAACAUGUCAUAUUAAGUUCUCUUCAAUAAUGUAUAUUUAGUACAGUUAUUAUUUGCUCAGUUUAUGCCAUAUCUUGAUGGAUGGCUUGUAAUCUUUAUGUAUAAGUAAUUUUAGUGAACAUGUAUAUGGAACAACAAUUGGUUGAUGGCUUGUAAUCUUUAUGUAUAAGUGAUUUUAGUGGACAUGUAUAUGGAACUACAAUUGGAUCUGAUGGAGCUGAGAAAUUGUGAUUACAGAUGA